rnacentral:rRNA from 1 species
GUCCACGCCGUAAACGGUGGGUGCUAGGUGUGAGCGGUAUUCCACGCCGUUCGUGCCGCAGCUAACGCAUUAAGCACCCCGCCUGGGGAGUACGGCCGCAAGGCUAAAAACUCAAAGGAAUUGACGGGGGCCCGCACAAGCAGCGGAGCAUGUGGCUUAAUUCGACGCAACGCGAAGAACCUUACCAAGGCUUGACAUGCAGGGAAAUCUCCCAGAGAUGGGAGGUCCGCAAGGGUCCUGCACAGGUGGUGCAUGGUUGUCGU